UUCGCAAUGCCCGAAAGGGUGACGAAGCGACGCCGCGUGUGGGAAGAAGGCCUUCGGGUUGUAAACCACUGUCGGGAGUUAGGAAAUGUAAGGGUGCUAAUAGUAUCCUUACUUGACUAAGGCUCCGGAGGAAGCCACGGCUAACUCUGUGCCAGCAGCCGCGGUAAUACAGAGGCGGCAAGCGUUGUUCGGAAUUAUUGGGCGUAAAGAGCACGUAGGCGGCCUUGUAAGUCAGUUGUGAAAGCCUUCUGCUUAACGGAAGAACAGCAGCUGAUACUGCAAGGCUAGAGUGCGGAAGGGGAGAGUGGAACUUCUGGUGGAGCGGUGAAAUGCGUAGAUAUCAGAAGGAACGCCGGCGGCGAAAGCGGCUCUCUGGUCCGCAACUGACGCUGAGUGUGCGAAAGCUAGGGGAGCAAACGGGAUUAGAUACCCCGGUAGUCCUAGCCGUAAACGAUGGGCACUAAGUAGAGGGGUUUU
rnacentral:rRNA from 1 species